GCCGUGGAGCCCUGUGUCGUUCCCGCCAAUUCUCGUGUCAGUCUAGUUCCUUACUUCAUGGAGCCGUUUGAUCCUGCGGAGCUGCCGGAGCUACUCAAGCUAUAUUACCGAAGGCUCUUUCCCUACGCCCAGUACUAUCGCUGGCUCAACUAUGGAGGAGUGACAAAGAACUACUUUCAACACCGUGAAUUUUCAUUCACACUGAAGGAUGAUAUUUAUAUUCGCUACCAGUCCUUCAACAACCAGAGCGAUCUGGAAAAGGAGAUGCAGAAGAUGAAUCCCUAUAAGAUUGAUAUCGGCGCUGUAUAUUCUCACAGACCCAGUCAACACAAUACGGUGAAGCUGGGAGCUUUCCAGGCACAGGAGAAAGAACUGGUCUUUGACAUUGAUAUGACAGACUACGAUGACGUAAGGCGAUGCUGCAGUUCUGCAGACAUAUGUUCCAAGUGCUGGACUCUUAUGACGAUGGCCAUGCGCAUCAUAGACCGAGCACUGAAGGAGGACUUUGGGUUUAAGCACCGCCUCUGGGUGUACUCAGGAAGGAGAGGUGUUCAUUGUUGGGUCUGUGAUGAGUCCGUUAGAAAGCUGUCCUCUGUUGUGCGUUCCGGGAUAGUAGAAUACUUGAGUCUUGUAAAGGGUGGUCAAGACGUUAAGAAGAAGGUUCACCUAAGUGAAAGACUUCACCCUUUUGUCAGGAGAUCAAUAAACAUAAUUCGGAAAUACUUUGAAGAAUAUGCCUUAGUUGGCCAAGACAUUCUUGAAAAUAAAGAAAACUGGGAGAAGGUUUUAGCCCUGGUUCCUGAGACAAUUCAUGAUGAGCUGCAGAAGGGCUUUCAAAGGCUUCACAGUUCAUCUCAGCGCUGGGAGUAUCUGAAGAAAGUGGUCAACACAUCCCAGAAUAUGAAGAAUGAUAAAUGUGGUCCCUGGCUGGAAUGGGAGAUUAUGCUCCAGUACUGUUUCCCACGCCUUGAUAUCAACGUGAGCAAAGGAAUCAAUCAUUUACUGAAGAGCCCUUUCAGCGUUCAUCCGAAAACAGGUCGCAUUUCUGUGCCAAUUGAUUUUCAGAAAGUGGACCAGUUUGAUCCAUUUGCUGUUCCAACCAUAAGGCAUGUUCCGGAUCAUGGAUCAUUCCUCAUUUCGCCAUCUGCCGAGAACUGGAUGUGGUUUUCUCUAAUGAAAAGGACAGAGAGGAGCAUGGAGGCGAAUCUGAAAGCAAACAUAGAAUCAGAGAUUAUAAGAAGACCAGUCUUGCCCCGUACGUGAAAGUAUUUGAACAGUUUCUUGAAAACCUGGAUAAGUCCCGGAAAGGCGAACUUCUCAAGAAGAGCGAUUUACAAAAAGAUUUCUGAAGAAAACAACUUCCAUCAAACCAAUGCCUUCCAUCUUUAACCAUGGACAAAUAUUUUAAGAAUCAUUUAAUAAAUAUGGCAGAAUCAUC